rnacentral:sRNA from 1 species
ACUGGAUAUGGUGGUGCAUGCCUGUAAUCCCAGUGACUCAGGAGGCUGAGGCAGGAGGAUCGCAAGUUCAAAGCCAGCUUUAGCUAUUUAGGGAGGCCUUAAGCAACUUAGCAAGACCCUGUCUCAA